rnacentral:lncRNA from 10 species
GUUCCCCAUCCCAGGGCCCCGGGGCCUCCGGGACUCCCCCCGCAACCCAAUGCCGGCUGCGCCGGCGUCAUCCGCCAUUUGGUGUUUUCUCGGAGAAGAAGCUACAUGUGGAAUAUAUUAACGCAACAAAUUGUGCGUACUUGCUAGACAUUAGGCAUGAUAGCAAGUGCUAGGGUUACAAAGUAUUGCUUUUUGGGGAACCCAUGGUUGUUGGGGAGAAACCAGAAGAUCAGUCAUCACAGUGCGGCAAGAUCAGACUUGUGGUUUGUUCAGGUUCUGGGAGCCGUCACUGCAGUGAGAAUGGGGGAUCUGCAAGGCAGCCCUAAAUUCCAAGCAGGACAUGUAACUCCUCAAUGGACAAAUGGACACUGGACCCUGGUUGAAGGAACCUGUUGUUCUUAUGGUGGAGGGCAGAAACCCAAGAGGGCUGGAGCCAAUCCAUCCCUGUUUUCUUUAGACGCUGACUCCUGCUGUCUACCAGAUCCUCGUGGUACAAUGACUGGUGUAGACUGGCUUGUUGAAGUCACUCUCUGGAUCUGAGCAACGCUGGCUGAGCCGUGAUGAAGUAUUCCUAUCCAUCCACUAUGCUUCACAGUGGGAAUCUCUCACUGUUCAUCACCGCUGCCCUAGCAGCCGCAGGGAUUCUUCACCCAUGGUUGCUUAGGUUUAUAAGCAAGGAAGCUGAAUGAAGUCCCUUUCCUCUCUGGAUGAGCCCCUGGGUUUCUGGAAGAGUCUUAAAAUCACCCCUAAAUGGCUUCCAAGCACUGAAGCCCGAGAUGUUAGCUGGCCUGUGUGAGGCCUUGAGACAGAAUGCCACAGCCACACCCCAAGGAUGCUGAAGGGGAUUUCCCUCCUCUGUGGUUUUUCUCCUUUCUUCCCGCAGCACUCCUCCUACGUGCUAACAUCUUCUAGUCAAACAACUCUCCUUUUCAAAGGGACCAGGCACAGUUUCUGCUUAUCCCUGAGUAGCAGUGUUCAGUUUCCUGCCAGCCUGUGGAGUUUUUCAAACAAGCCAAUCACCUCCUCCUGUGGGAACUGAGAAGCACCCCACCCUCUCGAUACUACAAAGCCCCUGCUUGUUCCCUAGUGCAACUCCCAUGUGGUCCUGUGGAGCAUAUGGUAUCUUCCUCUUCUGGGCAGUGAGCAUAUGUGACUAAUAAACUAUCUAUCUCAUCUGUUCAGUGCCAGGUGUCAUUUGUUCUGCCAUCCCAUGACCUAGGGUGGGGAUUCCUUCCACACCAACAGGGUGAAUGCAAGGUGAUUAAAACAAGAAGCCUCUUCAGGAUCUAUAUCCUAGGGAAAAAAUUAAACAACAACAACAAAACAAGAAGCUUCAACUCUGACCCUGUAUUCCAGAUGUGUUACAGGGGCCUGUCUCCCCAGAGCCACUCUCCAGGUCAGAGCUUACCUCCCCUUGCUCAGGGUUAGGAGCUCUGGGCAGGAAAAGGACAUCAUGUUAAAA